rnacentral:rRNA from 1 species
UAACGCGUGGAUAACCUGCCUCACACAGGGGAUAACAGUUAGAAAUGACUGCUAAUACCGCAUAAGCGCACGGCAUCGCAUGAUGCAGUGUGAAAAACUCCGGUGGUGUGAGAUGGAUCCGCGUCUGAUUAGGUAGUUGGUGGGUAACGCCCACCAAGCCGACGAUCAGUAGCCGACCUGAGAGGGUGACCGGCCACAUUGGGACUGAGACACGGCCCAA